CACGCUGAAGUUGGAAUAUUUUCCGAUGGUGAACGGAACUAAAAAUGAAACAUAUCUAUACUGCUUUUGUUAUCUGAGCCUGCUGGCUUUGGAGAGAGCAUAGAUAAGUUUCGCUUUCAGUUCAGUUCCCCGUCGUAAAGGAGAAGGGAAGGUCUGUAUGACGGCAAAAUGAAAAUAUUCUAAAUAUAGCGUACAUUUAAACGGAUAUCGAUUACCACACAAGAAUAAACAAGCCCCUUGGUGUCCCAUCUCAGCAAUCUUGGGUGUUUUGAAAUGGGGUUGUAUGAGGUACUUAUCCACAGUAGGUGUAUUACUUAGAGUAGAUGAGGGUCGGCACGUCCCCAGCUUGGAGAAACAGACAGGAGCACCGACACCGGAGCAAAGCAAUACAGUGCUGUGGAUGGGGACGGCAGAAAAACAUAUUUUAGCCACAG